rnacentral:lncRNA from 1 species
GACGUCCUUGUUUCUUAUCUACAGUCAACCCCCUCCCCCAUGGACAGUCUCUCUCCGUUCCUUCUUCUCCUUCCCUUUCCUGACACAUCCCAGCGUCCAGCCAGCAAACCCUUGAGUCCAGGCUCGGGGCUCACCGGGUGCGGGAGGGAGUGGGAGUGAGACCCGCUGCCUCCUGGGGUGCUCCUCUAGGGGCGUAGGGGGACUGGGUGGGAGAGGAUCACUUUCAGUGGAAGGAGGAGACCAGUGAUUGCAUCCCAACUCUCCCAAGUGCUCCCUGCCUAGACCACCUCUCUCCGGGUCUGGGAUGCAAGAAGGUCUGGAGCUGGCCGUUACUAACUUUCUGUUGUCAAGACCCAGGGGUACGUGCGAAGGAUAGAGAAGAGCCCCCGAUUAACCGCUGUGUGGCCAGGAAGAGGGACUGGGAGUGGGGGUGGGUGCCCAGAGCUUGCACAGAUCCCCAUGUCAAGCGGACACCCGCCUGGCUCUUCAGUAAAAGAGUGAAGAAAGGCCGAGCACAGCGCGAAGGAAACCUGAGGUCUCCGGCAAGGCAGGAGAGGAGACCAAGUGACUCCCCGAAACCCACCCUCCAGCCCUUCGAGAGGCCCAGAGUCCAGCCGGAGCAAGCGUAACGCUACAGUCCCUGGCGCGCAUCCCUGCAGACCCCAGCUCGCCCCGGGGUCCCGCCGCCGCCGCCGCCACCGCCUGCGACUGCGAGGGUCCUGGCCCGAGGGUGCACCAGCACCUCCUUCCACUACCGGCCCUUUAUCUGACAAAAGAGCCGGAGCCCAUGACUCUCCGACUGUGAGCAGUGUGGCCUUUCCAAGCCUCCAGAACUUUCUCAUUACAACUUUUCCGGGGUCGCACUACUCCCUGGGCCGCGCGGGCUCGGGCACGAGGACCUGGCCAGGGCGCAGCGCCGGCACGAAGGCGCGCGCCGCAGAACUGUUUCCUCAGCCGCGUGCCGGGGAACUAACUGUUUCCUCAGCCGCGUCCAGCCUCGCAGCACUGCUCUUCUGCUUGCUACUCCAGCGAAGGGACAUGCCUGCUGGCCAGGACGCUUAGUGGGCCUCGUAACCUGGCGAGUGUGUGCCCGCGCGUGUCCACCCUGCCCCCGGCCGGUGCGCCCCGCGCGCCCAAACCCGGCCGGCGACCACUGCGCGCCGGGCGCUUCCAAACUGCUCCUGUCCAGAGGCAUCCCUCUUUCGGCUUUCUCCAUCCCGCGUCCGCUUCCGCACCCGAGAGCGACAAGCAAAAAAGAUUCAGUGCAACUCAAGGACUGGUUUGUUAUACUCAAAAUGUACCAGGAACAGGAACAAAAGUAUUUUAUAAAAUAAUUAAUUUUUAUGGGCUAUGAGUCCCAAAUGGUUAUGUAAUCAAAGUGGAAGCAGAAAAGCAUGGCUUAGAAAAUAAUUGGUCAUGUCAUGUCACGCUUAACACAUGUGCAGACUCUGCCCUCCAGGUUGCAGUGCGAUGGUGUGAUCAAUGCUCAUAGUAGCUUCAAACUCCCAGGAUCAAGUGAUCCUCCUAAAUAAACCUCCUGAGUAGCUGGGACUACAGCUUCCACCAUGGGAUGAUACAGCAUGAAGGCCCUCACCAGAUAUGCACCCCUUGAUUUUGGACUUCCCAGACUCCAGAACUAAUCUGGGCUAUCCCUGUGACUUGCUUUGACUAACGGAAUGUGACAGAAUGACGUUGUGCAACAUCCAAAUCAGGACUUAAGAAACUGUAGGCAGCCAUCAUGCUGUGAACGCAAGCUGUGUGGAGAGACUAAGUGGAGGUGAAUGGAGUCAGUUCAGUCAACAGCCCUACCUGAUAUUUCAGUCCAUAACUAGCCCUGUGUGUCAGCCCUGUGAACAGGUCGUCUUGGACUUUUCACCCCAGUUGAGAAUAAUGACUACAUCCUCAGCUGAUAGCACAUGGAACAGAGGAACUACCUAGCUUAGCUGGGCCCAUAUUGCAGAAUUGUGAGAGAUCAUGAAAAGUUGUGUUUUUUUUAUAACUA